AACGAACGCUGGCGGCAGGCUUAACACAUGCAAGUCGAGCGCCCCGCAAGGGGAGCGGCAGACGGGUGAGUAACGCGUGGGAAUCUACCGAGCCCUACGGAAUAACGCAUGGAAACGUGUGCUAAUACCGUAUACGCCCUACGGGGGAAAGAUUUAUCGGGGUUUGAUGAGCCCGCGUUGGAUUAGCUAGUUGGUGGGGUAAAGGCCUACCAAGGCGACGAUCCAUAGCUGGUCUGAGAGGAUGAUCAGCCACAUUGGGACUGAGACACGGCCCAAACUCCUACGGGAGGCAGCAGUGGGGAAUAUUGGACAAUGGGAGCAAGCCUGAUCCAGCCAUGCCGCGUGAGUGAUUAAGGGCUUAGGAUUGUAAAGCUCUUUCACCGGAGAAGAUAAUGACGGUAUCCGGAGAAGAAGCCCCGGCUAACUUCGUGCCAGCCGCCGCCGUAAUAC
rnacentral:rRNA from 1 species